rnacentral:tRNA from 1 species
GCCGGAGUGGUGGAAUUGGUAGACACGUCAGCCUUAGGAGCUGAUGCCGCAAGGCGUGGAGGUUCAAGUCCUCUCUCCGGUACAA